UUCUGCCCAGGCGCCCGGAGAGAAAGUGACUGGAAGGCUCUAACUCUGUGACAGGAGCUCAAGCCAGAGCUGACGGGCCCAUUUCCCGGGAGAGAGGCAGGCAUCUUACUAUUGUCUACAAGUCAGAAUAAUGAUUUGUUGAAUGAGCUAUUCCUGCGCUCAGACGAAGAAGACAGCCCGUUGAGCUGGACAUAGAUGACCGUCUCGGCCGUGUGCUGGGAAAGCGCGUCUCCGGGAGAAAACCGUUACAAGCGCCCGUCUGUAGCGUUUGCGGAUUUCUGUGCCGUAAAUACUUCUAUUGCCGCCAAUUUCAGAGGGUCAACCUAACAUCCCUGAAAACAGAGCUGGACCGCGACGGGCAGGAUUCCUUCUUGCAACACCUUCUGAGCCAGCAGCGGACCGUCCGGGGGCCCCGGGGAGGAGCGGACAGCCGGGAAUAAGCCUCACAGCGCAGCACCGGCUCCACCAACGUCACGAUGCACCACAGCUGUCGGCACUUGAGCACAGACGUCACAAACAUUCCUUCAAACAUUCAGCCACUGCGCUCCGUGAACUCGUCCACCGCCUGACAGUGACCCCCCCUCCCCCCUCCCCAUCUCAUCACAGUCUGGGGAACUCGGUGCCACACGUGAGGACCCUCGGGCAGCCCUAAGGGGUGGCAGGAGGGGA